AUUGAACGCUGGCGGCAUGCUUUACACAUGCAAGUCGAACGGCAGCGCGGGCUUCGGCCUGGCGGCGAGUGGCGAACGGGUGAGUAAUGCAUCGGAACGUGCCCAGUAGUGGGGGAUAGCCCGGCGAAAGCCGGAUUAAUACCGCGUACGACCUGAGGGUGAAAGCGGGGGACCGAAAGGCCUCGCGCUAUUGGAGCGGCCGAUGUCGGAUUAGCUAGUUGGUGGGGUAAAGGCUUACCAAGGCGACGAUCCGUAGCUGGUCUGAGAGGACGACCAGCCACACUGGGACUGAGACACGGCCCAGACUCCUACGGGAGGCAGCAGUGGGGAAUUUUGGACAAUGGGGGCAACCCUGAUCCAGCCAUGCCGCGUGCGAGAAGAAGGCCUUCGGGUUGUAAACCGCUUUUGUUCGGGAAGAAAUCCUCUGGGCUAAUACCCCGGGGGGAUGACGGUACCGGAAGAAUAAGCACCGGCUAACUACGUG
rnacentral:rRNA from 1 species